ensembl:lncRNA
CCUAUAUCCACUCUAAUUGCACAAGGCGUUCAAAAACUUUACAGUAGUAACAUUGCCAAUAUGAUACAAUAUUUCAGAUGGUUAUUGGAGAGAUUAUUAUUAUUAUUGCCAUUAUUAGUAUCUGCUUUAGUGUUAUGCCUAACCUUUUAGCAGCUAAUUAUUUUGUUCAUAUUAUUUCUCGAACAUCAAUAGGACUAUGGAUGUGCAUAGUUUACUUUAUUUUAUUUAUUUUACCUUUAUUUAACUAGGCAAGUCAGUUAAGAAAAAAUUCUUAUUUUCAAUGACGGCCUAGGAACGGUGGGUUAACUGCCUGUUCAGGGGCAGAACGACAGAUUUGUACCUUGUCAGCUCGGGGAUUUGAACUUGCAACUUUCCGGUUACUAGACCAACGCUCUACCCACUAGGCUACACUGCAACCCUGCUUUCGGGCUACGGAGAAAAACGUAUUGCAGCAGGUCUUUUCGUCAACGAAUUUGACUUUCAAACCAAAAAGUUAUGGCAUGGAUAUAUUUACAAGCUUCGUUUUAGAGAAUUUGGCAGUAUGUCCAACCGGCCUCACAACCGCAGACCACGUGUAACCAUGCCAGCCCAGGACAUCCACAUCCAGAUCACCUGUGGGAUCGUCUGAGAACAGCCACCCGGACAGCUGAUGAAACUGAAGAGUAUUUCUGUCUGCAAUAAAGCAGACACUUAUUCUAAUUGGCUGUGCUUGACUCCCAAGUGGGUGGGGCUAUGCCCUCCCAGGCCCACCCAUGUCUAC